UACGUAGGGACCAAGCGUUGUUCGGAUUUACUGGGCGUAAAGGGCGCGUAGGCGGCUAUUCAAGUCAUCUGUGAAAUCUCCGGGCUUAACUCGGAACGGUCAGAUGAUACUGCUUUGCUAGAGUGCAGAAGGGGCAAUCGGAAUUCUUGGUGUAGCGGUGAAAUGCGUAGAUAUCAAGAGGAACACCUGAGGUGAAGACGGGUUGCUGGGCUGACACUGACGCUGAGGCGCGAAAGCCAGGGGAGCAAACGGG
rnacentral:rRNA from 1 species